rnacentral:rRNA from 1 species
AUUCCAGCUCCAAUAGCGUAUAUUAAAGUUGUUGCGGUUAAAAAGCUCGUAGUUGGAUUUCUGCCGAGGAUGACCGGUCCGCCCUGUGGGUGUGCAUCUGGCUCAGCCUUGGCAUCUUCCUGAAGAACGUAGCUGCACUUGACUGUGUGGUGCGGUAUUUAGGACAUUUACUUUGAGGAAAUUAGAGUGUUUCAAGCAAGCGCACGCUUUGAAUACAUUAGCAUGGAAUAAUAAGAUAGGACCUCGGUUCUAUUUUGUUGGUUUCUAGAGCUGAGGUAAUGAUUGAUAGGGAUAGUCGGGGGUGCUAGUAUUGAGCGGCCAGAGGUGAAAUUCUUGGAUUCGCUCAAGACUAACUUAUGCGAAAGCAUUCACCAAGGAUGUCUUCAUCG